CAGAGGGACAGUCCAGGUUCUGCAGCAGAGGGACAGUGCAGGUUCUGCAGCAGAGGGACAGUCCAGGUGUUCUGCAGCAGAGGGACAGUCCAGGUGUUCUGCAGCAGAGGGACAGUCCAGGUGUUCUGCAGCAGAGGGACAGUCCAGGUUCUGCAGCAGAGGGACAGUGCAGGUUCUGCAGCAGAGGGACAGUCCAGGUGUUCUGCUGCAGAGGGACAGUCCAGGUUCUGCAGCAGAGGGACAGUGCAGGUUCUGCAGCAGAGGGACAGUCCAGGUGUUCUGCAGCAGAGGGACAGUCCAGGUGUUCUGCAGCAGAGGGACAGUCCAGGUUCUGCAGCAGAGGGACAGUCCAGGUGUUCUGCUGCAGAGGGACAGUCCAGGUUCUGCAGCAGAGGGACAGUGCAGGUUCUGCAGCAGAGGGACAGUCCAGGUGUUCUGCAGCAGAGGGACAGUCCAGGUGUUCUGCUGCA